rnacentral:rRNA from 1 species
UACGUAGGGUGCAAGCGUUAAUCGGAAUUACUGGGCGUAAAGCGUGCGCAGACGGUCAUGUAAGUCGGGUGUGAAAGCCCCGGGCUCAACCUGGGAAUUGCAUUCGAGACUGCAUGGCUAGGGUGCGGAAGAGGGAAGCGGAAUUUCCGGUGUAGCGGUGAAAUGCGUAGAUAUCGGAAGGAACACCAGUGGCGAAAGCGGCUUCCUGGUCCAGCACCGACGUUCAGGCACGAAAGCGUGGGGAGCAAACAGG